rnacentral:lncRNA from 1 species
ACGAGUUCUGGAAGUUGAAGGAAAGCCAGUUUCACUGCGCCACCGUCGUAAACAUAUUGACCACCACUUCCUCCCUCUCUCUCGAUCGAUUUCAUUUUGAAACCCAAAGAAGAUGUCUGUCCAUUUUCGUUUUCGUUUUCGUUUUCAUGUUUGGUACUAGUAGAUCGAUUUUCACAAAGGUACGUGUUGUAUCGUAUUCACUAUUUUGUUGGCUAGGGUUUGCAUUUUUUCAUCAUAGAAGAAAUCAAAGUUUACUUAUCCAUCUAACCAAGUUUUCUUUUUUACUUUGUAUGUUCAUUUUCUCUUAUCUGAAGAACAAAUCAAAGCUCAACUUAAAGAAAUAGAAGGUUAUUGGCUUUUUGGUGGUAUUUAAGUUUGUAGUGAUUAUUGAUUAAGCUGUUGAAAAGUAAUGGAGAGUAUAAGUCAAAAUUUGUCUUCUACCUUAACAUCUGGAAGCGCUAAUGUUGCUGAGCCUACUGAACAAGUAGCAGUUGCUACUCAAGUUCCUGUUGUCGGGCUUCCUCCUCUCCCUUGUCUUGCAAAAAGGAGGAAGCCUAAUGCUGGUGGUCCUAGGA